rnacentral:rRNA from 1 species
UACGAAGGGGGCUAGCGUUGUUCGGAAUUACUGGGCGUAAAGGGCGCGCAGGCGGCCCUCCAAGUCAGGCGUGAAAGCCCCGGGCUCAACCCGGGAAUAGCGCUUGAGACUGGGGGGCUUGAGUUCGGGAGAGGAGAGUGGAAUUCCCAGUGUAGAGGUGAAAUUCGUAGAUAUCGUAAGGAAGACCAGUGGCGAAGGCGAAUCUCUGGACAGUUACUGACACUGAGGCACGAAGGCCAGGGGAGCAAACGGG